UCAGACGAUGCGUCAUGCAUAUCAAUAAGCGGAGGAAAAGAAACUAACAAGGAUUCCCCUAGUAACGGCGAGUGAAGCGGGAAGAGCUCAAAUUUGAAAUCUUAAAGGGUUUCCCUUUACGAAUUGUAGUUUAAAGAAGUGUUUUCUGUUGAGGUUUUGGUAAAAGUUCUUUGGAAUAGGACAUCAUAGAGGGUGAGAAUCCCGUAUUUGACCUUUACUUUCAACUUUGUGAUACACUUUCAAAGAGUCGGAUUGUUUGGGAAUGCAGUCCAAAAUGGGUGGUAAAUUUCAUCUAAAGCUAAAUAUUGGCGAGAGACCGAUAGCGAACAAGUACCGUGAGGGAAAGAUGAAAAGAACUUUGAAAAGAGAGUUAAACAGUACGUGAAAUUGUCAAAAGGGAAGCGUUUGACACCAGUGUUGUUUUUCUGGAAAUCAAUUAAAGAACUGUUUAUGCUAAGCUGUUUAGACUUUAUCAGCUAUCUGUUUAGUUUUGAGCUUUUCUUUAAUGCACUUUUCAGUUAACAAGUCAACAUCAAUUUCUUUUGCUGUAAAAAAGCUUGAGGAAGGUGGCUUGAGAUUCGUCUUAAGUGUUUAUAGCCUCUUGCCUAUGCAGUCGGAGAGAUUGAGGUCUGCAGCGUAGAUCCUUCGGGGCUAAAUGCAUUUGUGCUAAGUUAUAGCAUUUUAUAGACAACUUGUUGACUAUGAUUUGUCUUGUAGCUUACUCGCUUAUGUUAUUUUACCUACGCUUAGGAUGUUGACACACGCGCGUGCUCG
rnacentral:rRNA from 1 species